AUUUUCUUCAAGUUUCGAGUUUUACUCCCGAGCAGGGUUCUUUGGAGCGCUAUAUAUGUUGUCUUUGUGAUGGUGGAAUGGUGAAUGAUGCACUUGAUGUGUUUGUGAAGUUUAAAGACAUUGGAAUUUCCCCAUCAAUAGCGACAUGGAAUUCAGCUUUACUGGGUUGUCUUGGUGUCCGGAGGACUGAUCUUGUUUGGAAAUUGUAUCAUGAUAUGUUGGAUUCCAGGGUUGUGGCUGAUAUUGAGACUGUUGAAUAUCUUAUUCGGGCCUUUUGUUACGAUG
rnacentral:misc_RNA from 1 species